rnacentral:rRNA from 1 species
UACAGAGGUCCCAAGCGUUGUUCGGAUUCACUGGGCGUAAAGGGUGCGUAGGUGGUGAUGCAAGUCUGGUGUGAAAUCUCGGAGCUCAACUCCGAAAUUGCACCGGAUACUGCGUGACUCGAGGACUGUAGAGGAGAUCGGAAUUCACGGUGUAGCAGUGAAAUGCAUAGAUAUGACCCGGAACACCGAUUGCGAAGGCAGCCCACUAAGCAACGAUUGACGCUGAGGCACGAAAGCGUGGGGAUCAAACAGG